rnacentral:rRNA from 1 species
AGAGACGUGAAACUACCACGAGGUUAAAACGGAUGGACAUGCGUAGCGGAAAAGGGGGUCUCAUCUCUUCGGACUCCGCGGCGCCGGCGCGCCUUAGACCGUCUUCGCCCGGCCUCCCUCUCAUCGCAGGAGGAGGUUUCUGGCUCCGAAGGAGGCUAACGCGCCGACGGACGUGGGGGAAAGGGGGGUGGAUUUCCCUCCUUAGUACGCGGUCGCGGCCGCUCAAAGGUUGUCUGUGACUGGGGAGCUUGGGAACCGUGCCGCCUUCCUCCGCCGCCCUUGCGUCGGAUGUUGUCGAGCGGACCGGGGACUCUCCCUGGAUUCUGACGGACUCUCGAACGGUUUCGCGAGAGGAAGGGUUUCAGGGAGGCUCGAUCCAGUCGCUACGGCCCGCCGUGGCGGCGGCCUCUUCCGCCUUUUCGAAGGCGGUUGUCGUCGUCGCGAGCGUCGUCGUAGCGACUCGGGCCGAUCUGCCCUUGCGCGGCCGAAUUUGCGAUCGUCCAUCCGUCCCGUCUUGAAACACGGACCAAGGAGUCUAACAUGUGCGCGAGUCAAAGGGAUAACAAGGCUAAUCCCAUAGGCGCAACGAAAGCGAAAAAGGUUCACCUCCUGGCUGCUGACGCUGCCUCUUCUUCUUCUUUUUCUUCUUCCUCUUCUUAGGAGGGGGUUGAGGGCACUGAGGGACGAAGUCCGUAGUGGCAGUAGUCACGAUAAGGUGUUCCGUUGGGCCGAUCCGAGCUUCCCGAUCGUGGACCGGCGCAGGCCCGGGGCUCGUCGCUACCCUCCCGAAGAUCCCUCAUUCCUCCUCCUCAUGGGGGAGGGUGUGGGUUCUUCUUCGGGACGGGCGGUGGGCACCUUGAGCGUACAUGCUAGUACCCGAAAGAUGGUGAUCUAUGCCUGGCCAGGAUGAAGCCAGAGGAAACUCUGGUGGAGGUCCGUAGCGAU